CUGGAGUUUGGCAGAGGGGGGGUGGAAUUCCACGUGUAGCAGUGAAAUGCGUAGAGAUGUGGAGGAACACCAAUGGCGAAGGCAGCCCCCUGGGUCGAUACUGACGCUCAUGCACGAAAGCGUGGGUAGCAAACAGGAUUAGAUACCCUGGUAGUCCACGCCCUAAACGAUGUCAACUAGGUGUUGGGAGGGUAAAACCUUUUAGUGCCGUAGCUAAC
rnacentral:rRNA from 1 species